rnacentral:RNase_P_RNA from 1 species
CGAGGCGUCCGGACGGUCGCGUGCUUCGCCGGGGAAACCUGGAAUCGCACGAGGAAAGUCCGAGCUCCGCGACGCAGGGUAGCGGGUAACCCCCGUCCGCCGUGAGGCGAGGACCAGUGCCACAGAGACGAGUCGGCCGGCUGCACGUCAGCCGCGCCGGGUGAAACGGGCAAACUCUACCUGGAGCAAGGCCAAAUAGGAGGACAUCUUCGGGGCUUCGGCCUUGAAGGGGGGUGCGUCGCCUCGUUCUCGGGUCGGCCGCAUGAGUCGGCGGGCAACCGCCGUCCUAGAUGGAUGACCGUCCCCGCGACCCGUCGCGGGACAGAACUCGGCUUACAGGGCGCGUCGCUGG